rnacentral:rRNA from 1 species
UACGGGGGGGAGCAAGCGUUGUUCGGAUUUACUGGGCGUAAAGGGCGCGUAGGCGGCCACCGCAAGUCGAUUGUGAAAUCUCCGGGCUUAACCCGGAAAGGUCAACCGAUACUGCGGGGCUAGAGUGCAGAAGGGGCAACUGGAAUUCUCGGUGUAGCGGUGAAAUGCGUAGAUAUCGAGAGGAACACCUGCGGCGAAGGCGGGUUGCUGGGCUGACACUGACGCUGAUGCGCGAAAAGCUAGGGGAGCGAACGGG